rnacentral:rRNA from 1 species
CAGGUCUUGACAUCCCGCUGACCGCUCUAGAGAUAGAGUUUCCCUUCGGGGCAGCGGUGACAGGUGGUGCAUGGUUGUCGUCAGCUCGUGUCGUGAGAUGUUGGGUUAAGUCCCGCAACGAGCGCAACCCUUGAUCUGUGUUGCCAGCAUUCAGUUGGGCACUCACAGGUGACUGCCGACGACAAGUCGGAGGAAGGUGGGGAUGACGUCAAAUCAUCAUGCCCCUUAUGACCUGGGCUACACACGUGCUACAAUGGGCGGUACAACGGGACGCGAAGCCGUGAGGUGGAGCCAAUCCCUGAAAGCCGUUCACAGUUCGGAUUGCAGGCUGCAACUCGCCUGCAUGAAGCCGGAAUUGCUAGUAAUCGCGGAUCAGCAUGCCGCGGUGAAUCCGUUCCC